rnacentral:lncRNA from 1 species
UUCAAGUAAAUGGCUUCAUCGGGCUGUACACGAAUGACAAGCUCAUUGGUCGCACGGUCUAGGUCGGUUCCAAAGCUCCGUUUGUACAGAUUACCAGGUACAUGCCUAAAUUGCACCCUGAUCUCUGCUCUGUUUUCAAAACCAAUAAAUGUACCACAUAACAUCAGAGGAAUGUUUACCUGUGCUUAUCCUUCAAAUCUAAAAUCUGCUGACAUUUGGAUAUACAUGCAAACCUUAUUUGAAAAAUCCACAAUUAUUUGGAUUAUGAAACUAAAAUUCUGAUAAUGACAUGUCAGUGUUUCUCCUCUAUUUUUUAAUACUAUUUUUUAAAAUUAACUUCAGCAAAAAUUUGGAAUGAGUUAUUCAAUUAUGAUAUUCAUCGAAGCCUUUUCCCAACUAAUUGAAAAGUUUAAUUCAUUUACAGUAAUGGACCUAAAACAUUUCAAUUACAGGAAUGGACCUAAAACAUUCUGAAACUUCGAUUAUCAACCUUGGAGCAUCCUACAAACAAAAAAAAUGUGAGAUAGUGAAAGAAAGAUCAACAGCACGUUGGAUGAUUGCCUAAGCCUAGCAGGUUGAAGCUCUCAGUCUCAGACUAGCAGGCCGCAAAUUCCACUAGUUAGCAAGAAAAACAGAAUAAAUGAUCAAUAGAAGGCCAGUCCAGGUCAAGCUUAAGCAAGUAAAGGACAAAUAAUGUGUUCAAUCUGACUGAUCCCCAAAUUGUACUCUAAUCCAAUGGAAUAUGGAAAAGCUAAGUAGGAGGGUUGCAACACCAUCUAAUGAAAUAAUAGAUGGUGAUGAAGAGUAGAAUCCAUCUUCUAGAUGGUGAUGAAGAGUGGAAUCCAUCUUCUCACACUACAUCACGGUCCCCCAUUUCCCAUUGUCCAUUAAAUUAUAGGAGUCUUUCCCUGUGUGGAAAAAGAAAUGGAAUACCU